rnacentral:misc_RNA from 1 species
GUCAGACAUUAAAAGACGGUCUUAAUUUGGCAAAGGAUGACACCUUUAUAAGAAAAGAAUGCCUCCAAAUUUAUCUAUGAUAUAUGAUGAACCAGGAACAUCUAAGCAAUUUACAACAGGCAACUUCCUAAGACGUGUUAGGCAUUUCAUUCUGAUUUUUUUUUAACAUAAUUAUUUUCCGCCACGUUUGUGACAAGCAAAAGGGGAGACAGAAAGCAGGUAAGCGAAAAAUUUCCCUCCUAUGUCAUGGCUGAAAUUAGAAUUAGAAAAGAUAUCAUACAACCGUCAUUAGUUUCCAUAGUUCAAA